rnacentral:rRNA from 1 species
AGCGGCAGGCCUAACACAUGCAAGUCGAACGGUAACAGGGAUAGCUUGCUAUCCGCUGACGAGUGGCGCACGGGUGCGUAACGCGUAUACAACUUACCCAUCACUGGGGUAUAGCCCGGGGAAACCUGGAUUAACCCCCCAUAGUCCAUAGAGGUCGCAUGAUUUUUAUGGUAAAGGUUACGGUGAUGGAUGGGUAUGCGUCCCAUUAGCUAGAUGGUAAGGUAACGGCUUACCAUGGCGACGAUGGGUAGGGGUCCUGAGAGGGAGAUCCCCCACACUGGUACUGAGACACGGACCAGACUCCUACGGGAGGCAGCAGUGAGGAAUAUUGGACAAUGGGCGAGAGCCUGAUCCAGCCAUGCCGCGUGCGGGAAGACGGCCCUAUGGGUUGUAAACCGCUUUUGUACGGGAAGAAACCCACCUACGUGUAGGUGGCUGACGGUACCGUAAGAAUAAGCACCGGCUAACUCCGUGCCAGCAGCCGCGGUAAUACGGAGGGUGCAAGCGUUAUCCGGAAUCAUUGGGUUUAAAGGGUCCGUAGGCGGGGAUUUAAGUCAGUGGUGAAAUGCAGGGGCUCAACUCCGGCACUGCCAUUGAUACUGGGUCUCUUGAAUCGCCGUGAAGUGGGCGGAAUAUGUAGUGUAGCGGUGAAAUGCUUAGAUAUUACAUGGAACACCGAUUGCGAAGGCAGCUCACUAACGGCGCAUUGACGCUGAGGGACGAAAGCGUGGGUAGCGAACAGGAUUAGAUACCCUGGUAGUCCACGCCGUAAACGAUGGUUACUAGCUGUCCGGCUCGAUUGAGAGCUGGGUGGCCAAGCGAAAGUGAUAAGUAACCCACCUGGGGAGUACGUUCGCAAGAAUGAAACUCAAAGGAAUUGACGGGGGCCCGCACAAGCGGUGGAGCAUGUGGUUUAAUUCGAUGAUACGCGAGGAACCUUACCAGGGCUUAAAUGCAGCGGGACGUGGGUGGAAACACCCAUUCCUUCGGGCUCGUUGCAAGGUGCUGCAUGGUUGUCGUCAGCUCGUGCCGUGAGGUGUCAGGUUAAGUCCUAUAACGAGCGCAACCCCUACCGCCAGUUGCCAGCAUGUAAAGAUGGGGACUCUGGUGGGACUGCCGGUGCAAACCGUGAGGAAGGUGGGGAUGACGUCAAAUCAUCACGGCCCUUACGUCCUGGGCCACACACGUGCUACAAUGGCAUGGACAGAGGGCAGCCACACCGCGAGGUGGAGCGAAUCCUCAAACCAUGUCACAGUUCGGAUCGCAGUCUGCAACUCGACUGCGUGAAGCUGGAAUCGCUAGUAAUCGCAUAUCAGCCAUGAUGCGGUGAAUACGUUCCCGGGCCUUGUACACACCGCCCGUCAAGCCAUGGAAGCUGGGGGUACCUGAAGUCGGUGACCGCAAGGAGCUGCCUAGGGUAAAACCGGUAACUGGGGCUAA